UACAGAGGGUGCGAGCGUUAAUCGGAAUUACUGGGCGUAAAGCGUGCGUAGACGGUAGCGUAAGUCGGGUGUGAAAGCCCCGGGCUCAACCUGGGAAUUGCAUUCGAGACUGCUCUGCUAGGGUGCGGAAGAGGGAAGCGGAAUUUCCGGUGUAGCGGUGAAAUGACGUAGAUAUCGGAAGGAACACCAGUGGCGAAAGCGGCUUCCUGGUCCAGCACCGACGUUCAGGCACGAAAGCGUGGGGAGCAAACAGG
rnacentral:rRNA from 1 species